AUGUCCCCUUCAGAAGACAUCCCCAGACUGGCUUAGGGAUACUGGUGUGACCUCACCUUGCAGCCCCCAAAGAAGGAAUAGGGUGGACUAAAUGGACAGAGCCCCUCUCUAUCUGACACCUAGUAAGGGAGGAAAAUUCAGAAGUCCUGCAACCAUGUCCUGUUGUUCCCUCCCAGAUGCCCAGAAAGACUCCAGAUGCUUCAUUUAUUCUACUUUUUUGGUCCUGUCUCCAUCUGAGGGAUCCGGCCAUCCUAUCGUACUGCAUCUAUCUUGAAGAGGAGAAGACACCAUCAAAUCAAACUGCCAGGGAUGGUAGUAUCAUUGUUGUUUUGAUCCCCAUAUAUAGAUCCCUAUUGAUAUAGCCUGCCUUGUUUUAGUA